AUUGAACGCUGGCGGCAGGCCUAACACAUGCAAGUCGAACGAGUGGCGGACGGGUGAGUAAUGUCUGGGAAACUGCCUGAUGGAGGGGGAUAACUACUGGAAUCGGUAGCUAAUACCGCAUACCAUCAGAUGUGCCCAGAUGGGAUUAGCUAGUUGGUGGGGUAACGGCUCACCAAGGGUACGUUCCAUAGCUGGUCUGAGAGGAUGACCAGCCACACUGGAACUGAGACGCGGUCCAGACUCCUACGUGAGGCAGCAGUGGGGAAUAUUGCACUAUGGGCGCAAGCCUGGUGCAGCCAUGCCGAGUGUAUGAAGAAGGCCUUGAGGUUGUAAAGUACUUUCAGCGGGGAAGCGUUACCCGCAGAAGAAGCACCGGCUAACUCCGUACCAGCCGCCGCGGUAAUAC
rnacentral:rRNA from 1 species